rnacentral:rRNA from 2 species
UGGGGAAUAUUGCACAAUGGGCGCAAGCCUGAUGCAGCCAUGCCGCGUGUAUGAAGAAGGCCUUCGGGUUGUAAAGUACUUUCAGCGGGGAGGAAGGGAGUGAGGUUAAUAACCUUAUUCAUUGACGUUACCCGCAGAAGAAGCACCGGCUAACUCCGUGCCAGCAGCCGCGGUAAUACGGAGGGUGCAAGCGUUAAUCGGAAUUACUGGGCGUAAAGCGCACGCAGGCGGUCUGUCAAGUCGGAUGUGAAAUCCCCGGGCUCAACCUGGGAACUGCAUUCGAAACUGGCAGGCUGGAGUCUUGUAGAGGGGGGUAGAAUUCCAGGUGUAGCGGUGAAAUGCGUAGAGAUCUGGAGGAAUACCGGUGGCGAAGGCGGCCCCCUGGACAAAGACUGACGCUCAGGUGCGAAAGCGUGGGGAGCAAACAGG